UACAGAGGGGGCAAGCGUUGUUCGGAAUUACUGGGCGUAAAGGGCGCGUAGGCGGCCUGUUAAGUCGAACGUGAAAUCCCCGGGCUCAACCCGGGAACUGCGUCCGAUACUGGCAGGCUUGAAUUCGGGAGAGGGAUGCGGAAUUCCAGGUGUAGCGGUGAAAUGCGUAGAUAUCUGGAGGAACACCGGUGGCGAAGGCGGCAUCCUGGACCAAUACUGACACUGAGGAGCGAAAGCCAGGGGAGCAAACGGG
rnacentral:rRNA from 1 species